rnacentral:tRNA from 1 species
UGUGGCUCUGUUGAAGAGCACUUACCUGGCAUGUGGGAGGUCCUGGGUUCGAUCCCCAGCA